GGAUCAAUGGGUCGGUCGUGCCCUCGGUACGUACUGGCUUUAUUGGUUCUCACCUUCUAAUGAACCAUAAUGUCAUUCAUUUGAUGUUAUGGGGAAUUAGGACUGUUACCUUGAAAAAAUUAGAGUGUUUAAAGCAAGCUAACGCUUGAAUACAUUAGCAUGGAAUAAUGAAAUAGGACAUCGCAUUCUAUUUUGUUGGUUUCUAGGAUCGAUGUA
rnacentral:rRNA from 1 species